ACGCUGGCGGCAGGCCUAACACAUGCAAGUCGAGCGGUAGAGAGAAGCUUGCUUCUCUUGAGAGCGGCGGACGGGUGAGUAAUGCCUAGGAAUCUGCCUGGUAGUGGGGGAUAACGUUCGGAAACGGACGCUAAUACCGCAUACGUCCUACGGGAGAAAGCAGGGGACCUUCGGGCCUUGCGCUAUCAGAUGAGCCUAGGUCGGAUUAGCUAGUUGGUGAGGUAAUGGCUCACCAAGGCGACGAUCCGUAACUGGUCUGAGAGGAUGAUCAGUCACACUGGAACUGAGACACGGUCCAGACUCCUACGGGAGGCAGCAGUGGGGAAUAUUGGACAAUGGGCGAAAGCCUGAUCCAGCCAUGCCGCGUGUGUGAAGAAGGUCUUCGGAUUGUAAAGCACUUUAAGUUGGGAGGAAGGGCAUUAACCUAAUACGUUAGUGUUUUGACGUUACCGACAGAAUAAGGCACCGGCUAACUCUGUGGCAGCAGCCGCGGUAAUACAGAGGGUGCAAGCGUUAAUCGGAAUUACUGGGCGUAAAGCGCGCGUAGGUGGUUUGUUAAGUUGGAUGUGAAAUCCCCGGGCUCAACCUGGGAACUGCAUUCAAACUGACUGACUAGAGUAUGGUAGAGGGGUGGUGGAAUUUCCUGUGUAGCGGUGAAAUGC
rnacentral:rRNA from 1 species